CUUGACUUUCUAUUUCACAUAAUGCACAAAAAUUAAUUCUGGGUGGAUUGUAGCUGUGAGGAAAGGAUAAGAUUUAAAAAAUAACAACCUUUAAAUAUUCCGUAUACUCAACAGAAAUUCAUCAAAAUGUUCACCAGAAGACCCAGACCAAGAUGUAUUCAGCAGUAAUAUUUGUCAUCGCCCCAGUCUGGAAACAAGCCAAGAUCCGUCAACAGCAGAAUGCACACACUGUGGUGUGAGAAUGAGUGAAUUCCAACUACGUGCAUGAACACAGACACCACUCCACACAAUGGCAAGUGAAAGACACCCAGACAUAAAGAGUCUCCUCUCUCCAACUGGAUUUGUAAGAUUCUGAAGAAAGGGACUUAUUUGUUAUGGUAUAAAACAUCAACAACCAAACAUAUGGACAAAAGAAAAUGUACAGCAAUUUUACUUCAAGUGAGCUGCAUUGUAUAUGUUAUCUGGGAAUGAAAAUAUCACAGAAUUAACAGACUGUUGAUCAUUUCCUGGAUGACUUCAUUCUCUAGCGGAGCAGAGCGUGCUUUGUGCAGCCUACUCAACUCAGCAGACGUCGACUUCAGCUGAUCUUUCCUUUUCCAACUGCACAGUUAGAAGGUAGCAGGUAAUACUGUCACCAAACAUUUGCUAAGCACCCUACUAUGUGAAAGACCUCAUUUUAGGGGCUGAACAAACAUCUUAUUCACUUAUACUCUCCCUUUCAACACAAAAGGUAAGCAUUACAAAUGUUUAAAUAAAUCAAAUGCAGGCUGGGAAAAAAGUCUUAAAUCUCACAUAUGGAGUUAAUGGUGCCAAGUGGCUUGUUUUUAUAAGCCCAAGAGCUUUUAAAAGCUGAGCACUCGGGCUACACCCAUUAGGUUACACAGUCCCCUCAGACUUUGUUGUAUGACAUCUGGUACUUUACUGCCUUCGAGGCUAACUAGAAAUACCACGCGUGCCAUUUGCUUUGUCUCUGUUUUUCUAAAAGGUUCCCUUUCCAUUU